AUGGCCAUCUUCGAGGAGUUCUUCCUGGGCUCCAUUGACCUUGCCCGCCUUAACUAUGGGAUCAUCUUGCUCAUCCCCAAAGUAACCGGGGCCUCUGACAUCCGUCAGUUCCGCCCCAUCACGGUGAUCAACAUGAUCUUUCAUAUUCUGGCCAAAGGGUACGCUAAUAGGGUGACCCUCCUUGUUGACCGCAUCAUCCACCCCAACCAGUCGGCCUUCAUCCAAGGCCGAUAUAGUUUGGAUGGGGUGCUGGUUUUUCACGAGAUCCUGCACGAGGUCCACGCGAAAAACCUUAAGCCGGUCUUCCUAAAGAUUGACUUUCACAAAGCCUAUGACAUGGUCUCUUGGCCCUUCCUUCAGGAAGUUCUGCUUCGGAAAGGCUUUGACGAUCGGUGGGUCACGCGUGUCAUGCAAAUGGUCUCAUGUGGAUGGACUGCCGUUAACAUUAAUGGGGAGGUCGGACCCUACUUCCCCACCAUCUGCGGGGUCUCGCAAGGCAAUCCCUUCUCCCCCUUCUUGUUUAACAUUGUGGUUGAUGCCCUCGCCGUCAUCCUGGACAAGGCGAGGGCGACUGGCCAUAUUCAUGGGAUCACCCCCCAUUUGACUGGGGGACGCGAGAUCUCUCUCCUCCAGUAUGCCGAUGACACCAUUAUCAUGGUGGAAGGCUCGGACGAGGAUAUCAUGAACCUUAAGUUCCUCCUCCUCUGCUUCCAACACAUGUCUGGCCUCCGGAUCAACUUCGACAAGAGUGACGUAAUGGUGUUGGGCUACUCUCCUUAUGAGAGCCAGAGCAUCGCCAACCGCCCGAACUGCCGCCUCAGGACCUUCCCCACGACCUACUCGGGGAUCCCAAUUAGCAAUUCUCGACUUUUGGUGACUGAACUAAGGCCGACGGUGUCCAAGCUCCAGCUCCGGAUUGAGCCUUGGUAG
rnacentral:rRNA from 1 species